GUGCUGCAAUAUGUGUAGGCAGUAGCCGUUUCAACAUAUUAUUAUUAUUAUUCCCUAUGCAACUUUGGCUCCCUUUUCUCUUCCUCGUAAUUCGUGCACCUGGGGAAAAUGAAAACCCCCUUCUUAAACCCCAACACACACACACACACAGAAAAAAGAAAAAAAGAAAAAAAGAAAAAAAGGAGAAGUGUUUCACUGUUAAAACUGUCUCUGCCUUUAAUGGAACAAGACAAAUAAUAAAAGAGAAAGAACAAAUCUUUUUCAAGAAGAGAGAGAGAGUGUGUGAGUGUGUGUUUUAAGAUCUGUUUGAAUGCAUUUUCUCACUGUGUUUCUCCUUUUUUUGUGAAAACACUUUGACCAGUUAGGGUUUGUUUGGACCAAAACUAAGUUCUUUGGCCAUGGCAUUGCUACUGGAUUUUUCAGGAAGGUGGUUUUUUCCCCAAGAAAGGUCAGAUAGAGAAGCAGGAGUUGAGCUUGCUUCAGAGGUUUUGAGCUGGUGGUCAACUGUUAAACCGGGUUGAACUUCCUUGUGAUUUUCUAGAACAUGUGAACUAAUUACAUAAUUAGUUAAUUAGGGAAUGAAGCCAUCGGUCCGCGAAGCAUAUCAAGCUUUGUAUCAUAUUGACAAUACCAGUAGUGAUUCAUAGUGCAUGAAGUAUUUUUUGGCAUAUCAAAGCUACUAAGGUUUAUAUUA